UAUGAUUUCACUUAUAUUUGGAAUCUAAAAAGACAAAAUGAAGAAACAAAACAGAACUAGACUCACAGAUACAGGAAAUACAUUGGUGGUUACCAGAGGGGGGAGGGCAUAGGUGGAAUAGGUAAAGGGGAUUCAGAGGUACAGACUCCCAGUUCUAAAAUAAAUAAGGCUUGGGGAUAUAAUGUACAGCAUAGGGAAUAUAGUCAAUAAUAUUGUAAUUACUUUGUAUGGUGCCGGGUGGUAACUGGACCUGUCAUGGUGACCAUUUUGUAAUGUAUAUAAAUACUGAAUCUCUGUGAUGUACAGCUGAAACUAAUAGGAUAUUGUGUGUCAAUUAUACUUCAAUAAAAACAAUCCUCACUUCCCCACCUCUCUACACUAAUCAGUCAUUCAACAACUAUUUAUUAAGGGACUACUGUGGGUCGGGGAGUCCGCUAGGCUCAUCGCCGCCUUCACAGAGCCUGCACCCUGAACCUCCAAGCCACACCCUUUGCUAUGACCCACAGACUGGAUGUCCCCUGGAGAUGACAUAUUUCAGCCUCACCUUGACAACAUUGCUGGUGUUAUUUCCAGCCUCCAGCUCCCAUCCUGGAAGACCUUGCCAGCAUUCUCUGUAGUCCCCUGGAGGCCCCAGUGACGUCAGAAUCCAGCACUCAGCUAGUCUCCGUGGGACCUGAACCACACCUGUGCAUUGUGUUUGCCCCAUGGAAACCAGGGCAGGAGACAAAGAGCUUCUUCUGGAGCAGGCCUCACGUGUGCAGGGGCCUGAGAAGGAGCUGAUUGUAAUCUGGUGUCUGAGGCCUGGCAGCCCCAAUGCUCCUCAAUGAAUCACACUCAAGUCUGAGCUCAUCUGAGAUGCUUGUGUGUGGGGUUGCUCCAGGAAGGCGGGGAAAUGAAAUCAACACGUAAUGUGUGAACUGGGAGGUUGCUGAGAAAUUGUCUAAACCAACCUCCUGGAACUUUCUACUGCUCAGGCUCAGGGUCCUUUCCCAGGCCUAGGCUGGCAACCAGCUCCCUUCCUUUCCCUCUCACAGGCCCCAGGGCCUCAUUCUGCUUCCUUCCCUCUUUAGCACUACCACUGCCCACUCCAUCCUUGAGCGCCCUCCUCACCAAGCCAGGCUGGAGAAGAGGAGGCAGGGUCCAAAACAGCAGGGCCUGGCACCUCCACACCAACCACACCCGCCAUAGAUAAACAACAAACAAGCCCUCCACUGGUUGCCUGCCCGGGACUCAGACCCAGUCUAGAUGCAACUAGGAAAAUGGGUGCAAAUGGCCUCAGCAAGAAAACCAUGCAGCUUGGGGACAAGAUCUCCACUCUACAAAUCAGAAACCCUGACUUCCAUCUGCCUUCUACCAGCGGCUUUCUCUAGGACAAGUCACUUACGCGUCUGCCCUUCAACAUCAGCGCCUGUAAAAUAUGAAUCAUACGGCCUUCCUCGCUUACAGCUCUAAUGGGAUGUAAACUAUUGGAUACUGCACCUGGAAGGGGUUGUUAUUAUCCAGAGCAGCACUUAUGAAAGGGUGUAAGGAGAAUGCAAAAAGUAGGGUUCCCUAACCAAAGAAGGUUAAGAAAUACUGAGUUAAACAGGUUUCUGACUGCACAACGUCUCCGUGCCUUUUUUUUUUUUUUAAAAG